rnacentral:rRNA from 1 species
CAUGCAAGUCGAACGGAAAGGCCCCUUCGGGGGUACCCGAGUGGCGAACGGGUGAGUAACACGUGGGUGAUCUGCCCUGCACUUUGGGAUAAGCCUGGGAAACUGGGUCUAAUACCGAAUACACCUCAUGGGAUGCAUGUUUUGUGGGGGAAAGCUUUUGCGGUGUGGGAUGGGCCCGCGGCCUAUCAGCUUGUUGGUGAGGUUACGGCUCACCAAGGCGACGACGGGUAGCCGGCCUGAGAGGGUGUCCGGCCACACUGGGACUGAGAUACGGCCCAGACUCCUACGGGAGGCAGCAGUGGGGAAUAUUGCACAAUGGGCGCAAGCCUGAUGCAGCGACGCCGCGUGAGGGAUGACGGCCUUCGGGUUGUAAACCUCUUUCGCCAGGGACGAAGCGCAAGUGACGGUACCUGGAGAAGAAGCACCGGCCAACUACGUGCCAGCAGCCGCGGUAAUACGUAGGGUGCGAGCGUUGUCCGGAAUUACUGGGCGUAAAGAGCUCGUAGGUGGUGUGUCGCGUUAGUGGUGAAAACUCACA